CGUCGUCUCGUUCGUCGACGGAUCGCGCGCGUGCUCCAACGCCAAUCGACGAGGAAGCGAUGCGGCUGGGCGACGGCGGCGCGGAUCCGCUGCGCGCGCUUGCGGAUUUCAGUUGCCGCCAAAGAUCAGGCGGCGGCUGCGGCAGCCCGAGAUUUGUUGAAGGCGGAUGCGGCUCGGAAGCGGAAGGCUGCGGCGGUGCACUCGCGGCGCCAGGGUGAUCUGUGGCGGCAGACUCGCAGCGCCAUCAGGGGGGAUCUUCGGCGGCGGACUCGCGGGAGCAGUCGAGCUCGAGCAGAGCAGCGGAACGGAGGACUCCGCCAACCUCCUUCAGCGAUGCAAGUUACUUCUUCAACGGCCACGAGAGGAGCAGAAGGAGCCGGGUCCGGUGGUGGCCGAUCCGCGGCCUCCGGCGGCCGCCGUCGCGGAGGACGAAGGUGCCUUCGCCGUCGCCGGCGGAGGGCAAGGGUACGGGGGCGGCCGGCUGUGAGGUCAAACGACCGGGAUUUGCUCAGGCAUUUUGCUUAUGCUAUUUCUCUCGCAGGCAUUGCUCGCAGCCUGAAGUAGUAUCUAGUUAACUGUGUUUUUCACCUUUCUUCUUUAUUACGCGUGCAAUAGUCCGAGCGAAUUUGAGCAAGUAUCAAAUGAGACUAGCUCUGUUUAUUUCGACGACCAAAGUUGAAACAUUAGAAAGCAGCUGCAUUAGAAACUUGUGAAUCCACACAACUGAAUCUUACUACUAUUUUAAGUGGAUCAAUAUAGCAAUUUGGCCAUACAAAAACAUGCGAGCAUAACAAUUACUUCAUGUUUCCCUCCAAUUCUAUUUCCUCCCCUGUUUAAUUCUACACCAAGAUACAACACAACUGCCACAUGUGGUUACAUGGAUUUAAUUUACCAUCUCGAAGUUUCAGCAUGUAGCUCUAGUUAGUUUCAGCAAGGCAUCCAUGUUAGUUUCAGCAUGUAGCUCUAGUUAGUUUCAGCAUGUAACUGGAACAAGUGUCAUGUGUGGAAUAGAUCCAUGUUACAAUUUUCUGCACAGCUUCCUAUUCAAAUUUUUCUACUUAUACAUUGACAUAGUUUUAUGUAUAGAAGGUCCUAUAUUUCUAGUUAAAUUGUCAGGUUCAGGAUUAUUAUAGAAACAAAAGUUAAAUUGUCAAGUUCAGGAUUAUUUUCGAAACAACAUCAUCCUGCAUGAUAGAUGGAAUUUGUCUUCAUUGUGUGUCAGGGAUUUCUUCUCCCAAUGGGCUCUGUUAGCUUGCAUAGCAUAAUGCGUGUCAGGUUCAUUGAAAUAAUGUUUGGCAUUCAAAACAAAAUCCUGAAUGGAGACCAAGGCAUAGUUGAAUUGGAGAAUUGAGGUAACUAUAUUUUCAUAUUGAGGCUUUGUUGUUCUGGACCACUUGGCUCUGAUGAUGGAAACUCUUGGAAAGAUGACUCGGAGGAACUCAUUUUGAGCAUGUGAAUGUUACCUGCAUUUGUGUCAAUUUGGACUGUCAAAUAUCUUUUUUUUUUUUUGUAAGAGGAACUUUUGAACCUUUGAAUGUUUCCUGCUGUUCAUGUGAAAUGAAAUGCCCGUGGCUGCAUGUAUGCCUGUAUGCUCGUGUGAAAUGUAAUGCCCGUGGCUGCAUGUAUGCCCGAUGGUGCUGGCUGCUUCCAUUCCAAAUGGGAACUGAUUGUCCAAGUGCGAACUGAAUAUAUGUCAUGUAUUCCUAUCCAUAUAAAUAUAUAUUAUAUACGAGAUUA